CAAAUAUUUUGCUUUCAUUGUCACAUUCACCUUGACACGGAUAUUGCUCGGGUGCCUAACUGGAUGAGAUGACUUCUAAAUUUCCAUUGUUCUUUCUAAUAAAUUUGCUUCCCUCUAUAGCCACUGGCAGGGACCCAUCAGAUAAACUCUCUCCGAGCGUCAUCAAUCACAGGCACCCUGACAGACGGCUUUCGCCUUCAUUUGUUACAUACGCGAACACGCUUAAUUAUUUGUACUGUAAUUAGUUGGGAAAAUGUCAGGAAAUGUCAGCUCUCUGUUCGCCGUGGAAGGGCCCCUGCUUGAAAGCCGCGGUGACUGAAGUGUCAUUAAUGCCAGCAAACAAGAUGAGGAUCAGCUGGGGAGGAGAGCGGGGCCUUUACGCUGUAAUCAUGGAGACUUAGAGGGGGAGCGCUGCAAAUCAGCCCGCCGAGCAUGAUGGGCAUCUUAUUAGCGAGCAGCAGCAUUUCUGCUGCAUGUCUUGUAUUUUUUGUCUUUCUUUUCCUCGCCCUCUUCACUUUUUCUCCCAGCGCUGAGAAAUAAAGGCAGCGAGCAGCAAAAAUAAAGUCAGGUAAACAAUUGCUGCUCUCCACUCAGAGAGCUGCUGUCAAACUGGGCGCAUUUUACCGGGCUGCACGGCCUGUCACAAACAGACAUUAUGCUAAAAGCCGAGCGGAAUGGGGAAGCUCUGUGUCAAAACUGUUCAAGUUUGCCUUUUUAAAUAGACUGCAUUAAAUCUGCAGCUCGAAUGCGGCUGGAAAAAAACAACGAGAAGUCGGAGAGGGAUUGGCGAGCAAGCCAGGAGCGUCCUUCGUUGCGGUCACGGCUCUCGGGAGGCUUCGCUUGCCGCUCCUCUUCCAGGGCCUCGUUCGGAGCCACCUUAGCCGGAGAUGCCACUGAUGGUCAUCCAAGAGAUCCUUAAUUAGCCUGCAAUCUGGCAACGGUGCGUGUUCCUGGCCUGUUUGAAUAGCACGCCAGAUGCAAGACCACCUUCAGUGUGUCAUUUCAUUGUGUAGGCAGCAGGGACGGGGCAUCAGCCGGCCGUCCGCCGCUCUCUUCUCUGGCACAACAGCUGAGAAAGAGGACAGCAGAGGUGACCCUGACCAACCUCGACCUUCAGUCGCAGACUAAUGGCUUGGCGGGGGACGUUAACCUCUUGCAUGCCAUACUGCGGUUUGAAAUCCAGCAGCCUAUUGUUUCCCACCUUAUUAUCUCUCGAGUCAUCAUUGAUCUACAGAGAAGAAAAUCACUGCUGCAUAUGAAGCCAUGGAUCACGCUGAUGAACGCUAGAAGUGCUUGUUCCCAUGUUCCUGUCCCUCGACUGACCUCCUCACAGAACGGGCUCGGUGCGAUCAUGCACUGGGGCUCUGGUGACCCGUCAUUUGUGGCGUGCUUCCUCUCCGGCAGCGUCACAUUCCACGACAGUGCGGCUCUCCGGCCUCAGCCAGCAAGCAAAUAGUUGGAGAGAUAAAGCAGGACAGUCGCGGGUCAGCGGAUCAACCGUACUGCUAAGAUGAUUGUUCUGCCAGCCUUCUGUUGGAGCUGAUGCGGCUGGAGCGCGAGGCCUGGGCCAAAGCUGCUUUGCUAGAGGCGGCUCUGGCUCCAAACACCUCUUUUGUCUCUGGGCUCGUCCCCCACUAGCCCUGCGCCUGCCUGGGACGAGGGAAGCCUGAUGGCUGAUGGAGAAGCCAGCCAAACCCGCAGCCAGUCUACGAUUGUUCAGGCCUGGUCUUUGGCAGCGGUGCCUCGGCUGCAACAUUUCAACACAACAGUGAGGAUUCCUCUGUGUUAAAGAGGCCGUGUUUGGGGGCAUCUCUCCUGGCUCCUCCUCAUACAGCUGACAGGGGAUUUGCGGUUGUUGUCGACAAACUGUUUCAGUUGAUUUAUGGUGCACUUAUAAACUUGUGCAUUUUCAUUUUUAUAGUGGAUGAACAACUACUGCUAAUUAAAUAACUAAACUAAACUUCCAUUGUCUAGCAGUUACACAUUAGACACACAAAUGCUCAGCACUCAAAAACCCAUCAUGAGGGAAGCGAUGACACAUAAAACACAAGUCAAUACAGUAAUUCGCAUAACUUGCAAGCUGUUGUGGAGGAAUUUCGUACCUAACCUGGUCAGGAGCAGGUUUUCUUCGGUAAACCCAGAGUUUAUUACGGUCUCCUCCCCUUUUUAAAGUGUAAACGAUGUUUAAAUACCUCAUCCAUUCAUUCAUACUGCAAAAAUGCUUUUCUUACUGAGUAUUUCUGUCUUAUUUCAAGUACAAAUAUCUAAAAAUUCUUAAAUCAUGAUGAAUUUUCUAUAUAAGAAAAAUUAUAUAGCCUUAGAUGUCUAUUAGUGUUUCCUUGCAUUUUACUUAAAACAAGUAAAAUUAUUUGCCAUGUUGUAAGAAAAAUUAUCUUAAUGCAAACGUAAACAAGAUUAUUUUUUGUUUCCCCCACCUCCCUCCGUCACCAGACACCAUCAAAGUGACAAAAAUGGCAUGUCCUUCUAUACUUAGGAGGCUGUAUUCAUUCGUAGGGAGUUGCAUUUUAGUUUGUGCCAUAUCCACAUGCAUAUUUAUUUGGUCGUUUUCUAUAUCGGGGAUGCAGAGCACAUUAGUAAGGCAGCUGUAUGCAUAGUGGUAACAAAGGUGUGCCUCGCUGAUGUUCACUUGAUAACAUCUUAUGGUGACCUCUGGAAAUAACCCAAUAAUUAGAAUUUCCUUUAGGAUUUC
ensembl:lncRNA